CAGGUCCUCUGGCACCAGCUUAUGCCUGUGUGUCACCACACUCCAUGAACCUGCUCCACAAACCCUGUCUCAAGCCGCAGUGGCCUUUUACCUGAAGGCAUGACUAUUUCCUCAAUAGAACUUUCCUCUGCAAAACAUGAAAGAAUACAGGAAAUCCUGCAUGACCUUAUGAAUACCUGUGCUAAUUAAGUCACUGGCUUGGUACUGGAAGAACAGCAAGAUAAUAACACAGAGUUUUGUCUGGGAAAUACAAAUCUGAGAAUGGAGUGGAAAGGGAAAUGCUCCAAAUUUCAGAAACAAGAUUCCAUUUGCAACCUGAAAGCCUCAUUGUGUGUGGCAGGAGUGAAACACCUUCUGAGAAACAUGAAGCUCAGCAGAUGCUCCCUUGAAGGUUCCUGUGCAGCCAUCCCCUGGACUGACUGCUG
rnacentral:lncRNA from 1 species